CAGGUAGGUGGUCUGGUUAGUCUGUUGUGAAAGCUCCUUGCUUAACGGGGAGAGGCCAACAGAUACUGCCAGGCUUGAGUAUAGGAGAGGGUACUGGAAUUCCCGGUGUAGCGGUGAAAUGCGCAGAGAUCGGGAGGAACACCAAUGGCGAAAGCAGGUACCUGGACUAUUACUGACACUCAGCUGCGAAAGCUAGGGGAGCAAACAGGAUUAGAUACCCUGGUAGUCCUAGCCGUAAACGAUGCACAUUAGGCGUGAGGGGUAUCGACCCCCUUCGUGCCGAAGCAAACGCAUUAAAUGUGCCGCCUGGGGAGUACGGCCGCAAGGUUGAA
rnacentral:rRNA from 1 species